AUUUUAAACCCUAAAAACUUCAAAUCUUUGAUUCUCCUCACACACACCGAAUCGAGCUACCAAAUUCUAGGGGAAUGUAGUACUAAUCAAACUCAAUUUAUCCAUAUAUAGAACUCACCAAAUGGUGACCUGAGGAAGGAGAAAUUCGAUCGACACCGAAUCCGAACCGGCGGAGUUUUGGAGCUCGAUUUAUCUCUCACGGCGGCGCCACUCGAUGCACCACCUAUCCAGCAAUGAAGUAGAGACGACGGCGAAGCUUUUGGGACAAGUGUGGCGGUCUCCGGUGGCUUGACGGCGGAGCUAGGCCGAGAAGAAAAUCUGGCAGGCGAAAUAGACUUCUUACCAUCCACCUUCGGUAAUAUAAAGAACUUUAGCCGAUGAAAUUCUUUAUUCUCGUUGGCUAAACUCUUUUGAAAAUUUUGGUUGACCGCCAAAAAAUUUUGGUUGAAAAUUUUGAAAAUUUUUCGACUUUAGCCGACGACUUUUCAUAUAUUUUCGUCGGCUAAAGUCUUUUGAAAAUUUUCCUCCAAAUUUGGUUUACCACCCAAAAAUUUUUGACCUUAGCCGACGACUUUUUUAAUAUUUCGUCGGCUAAAGUCUAUAAAUUUACGAAAACGCUCAUAUCUCCCUCUAUAUUACGUAGUUUGGUCAAACCUUCCACACGAAAAACUUUCACGUAGAUGAGACGCAACCGCCUAUAUAAAAAUUUUGAGACAUUUGCCUUCCGACGAUAGGGCUCCCCAUAGUGAAUAAUAACGGUAAAUAGGGUUGACCGCUACUAUCGGCACCGAGACUUUACCCGAUUUACGUGAUUUUUGAACCAUAGCCGUAUUUCACCAUUCUGAACACAUCUUAUUUCACGAGAUUUUUGAUAAUUUUGCUUCCUAUAUAGAGUUGGUUCACAAAGUUGUAUAACCUACUAAACAAGUUAUAUAAUAUUAGUAGACACGUUGUGAUUCCGAUGACUAAAAUUCACAAACCAAAAUUCGACCGUCAGAUAUAAUCAUUAUGACGAAAGAUGUCUAUGGUAAAAAAUUCAACUGGAUCCGACAACGUUAAGGACUCGAUCGAAACGGCUAACCCUAAUCCAUCGUCACUUAUCACACGAAAACGCUCAUAUCUCCCUCUAUAUUACGUGGUUUGGUCAAACCUUCCACACAAAAAACUCUCACGUAGAUGAGACGCAAUUGCCCAUAUAAAAAUUUUGAGACAUUUACCUUCCGACGAUAGGGCUCCCCAUAGGGAAUAAUAACGGUAAAUAGUAGACACGUGAUUCCGAUGACUAAAAUUUACAAACCAAAAUUCGACCGUCCGAUA
rnacentral:lncRNA from 1 species